rnacentral:lncRNA from 1 species
GAAAGAGCAGGAAGGAGAGGGGGGCAGAGGACAUGUGUGGUUGUGUGAUCUGUGAGAUGAUGUGAACAAUCCAAGAGAGAGGAAAGACAGGAGGGGUGGUAUGAGCCCCACCACAGUGACAUCAUAGCUCUUUAAGCAGGGAGUGGCCCGACCCAUGGCUGCCACAGGGACAUAGGAACAGGAAAGGGGGCCUUGGACUAGGAAGCUGUCCUAGGGAAAGGGUGAGAACCCAGAAGAGGCUCCGGGUUCAGACGGGAGGAGGGAGAUAUGAGAAGGAAGACUUAGGGAGGGAUGCAGACCAGUGGCCGAGGGAACCAGGGACAGAGUCCAUCCAUGGUGACACUGGCCUGAAGGCUGUGAUCCGGCUCAGUAGGCUGAGGAGCCGGAGGCAGCAGUGAGGAGCGGGAAGACAGGAAAGAGGCAGCACAGCUAACCACCAGGAGACUGGGCACACCUACGGGAUGCAUGCAGACAGGAUCAAGUUUGUUCUGAGGAAGAGUUCAGACCUCAAACCCUGGUGUCCUGCCUGCCUGCCGCUCAGAGGAGAGAGAGAGCCAGCAGGCACCACCCACCCAGCCCGGAAGAGACCAGAGAGCAGAGUCCUCAACGCCCAGGGCUUUCCGAGAGAUCACAGGUCUGAAAAGGAGCAGCUUCGGGGAGAAGGGCAAGCAUCCCCUGACAUAGCCCGGCCUCCUUGUCUGGAUUAAUCACGGGAUCUCCACGGCUGCUGCUAUCUAACUGAUGCCAAAACAUGUCUUCCCCCCCCCCCAUUCCCUUUUGUACCUUAGGGAAUCAGCUGUAGUAAAAGACACAUGGCUCCUGUGUGGACUAACAGUGAGAAAAUCUACUUCUGGGCCCUGAAGAUGGCAGCCCAGUUCCUAUGAGUGUGUCUACAAAUGUGCCUGUGUGUCUGAGUGUGUAUAUGUGUACACACAGAAAGGAGACUUUUGUCCACAUCUCUGGUGUACGAACAAGGAUUUGGGGGAGCUGGAACAUUUGUCCCUCCAUACACAUAAGAUGUGAGCCAUACGUUGACAUUCAGACAAAAUUGCGUGUCUCCUUGUUACAGACAAAGGAUGAUGAAAUGAAA